rnacentral:rRNA from 1 species
UAAUACAUGCAGUCGAGCGAACUGACGAGGAGCUUGCUCCUUUGACGUUAGCGGCGGACGGGUGAGUAACACGUGGGUAACCUACCUAUAAGACUGGAAUAACUCCGGGAAACCGGGGCUAAUGCCGGAUAACAUAUCGAACCGCAUGGUUCGAUAGUGAAAGACGGUCUUGCUGUCACUUAUAGAUGGACCCGCGCCGUAUUAGCUAGUUGGUGAGGUAACGGCUCACCAAGGCAACGAUACGUAGCCGACCUGAGAGGGUGAUCGGCCACACUGGAACUGAGACACGGUCCAGACUCCUACGGGAGGCAGCAGUAGGGAAUCUUCCGCAAUGGGCGAAAGCCUGACGGAGCAACGCCGCGUGAGUGAUGAAGGUCUUCGGAUCGUAAAGCUCUGUUGUUAGGGAAGAACAAAUGUGUAAGUAACUAUGCACAUCUUGACGGUACCUAACCAGAAAGCCACGGCUAACUACAUGCCAGCAGCCGCGGGUAAUACGUAGGUGGCAAGCGUUAUCCGGAAUUAUUGGGCGUAAAGCGCGCGGUAGGGCGCUUUUUUAAGUCUGGUGUGUAAGCCUAGGGCUCAACCGUGGGAGGGUCAUUGGGAAACUGGGAAAACUUGAGUGCAGAAGAGGAAAGUGAAAUUCCAUGUGUUGCGGUGAAAUGCGCAGAGAUAUGGAGGAACACCGAGUGCGAGCGGGUUUCUGGCCUGUAACUGACGCUGCGGCGAAGCGUGGGAUCA